CUUAUGUAAUGGGGGGAAGGGAAAAAAAAA
rnacentral:rRNA from 1 species